AAACCAACUGGGAUUACCUUAGUAACGGCGAGUGAAGCGGUAAAAGCUCAAAUUUGAAAUCUGGUACUUUCAGUGCCCGAGUUGUAAUUUGUAGAAUUUGUCUUUGAUUAGGUCCUUGUCUAUGUUCCUUGGAACAGGACGUCAUAGAGGGUGAGAAUCCCGUUUGGCGAGGAUACCUUUUCUCUGUAAGACUUUUUCGAAGAGUCGAGUUGUUUGGGAAUGCAGCUCAAAGUGGGUGGUAAAUUCCAUCUAAAGCUAAAUAUUGGCGAGAGACCGAUAGCGAACAAGUACAGUGAUGGAAAGAUGAAAAGAACUUUGAAAAGAGAGUGAAAAAGUACGUGAAAUUGUUGAAAGGGAAGGGCAUUUGAUCAGACAUGGUGUUUUUUGCAUGCACUCGCCUCUCGUGGGCUUGGGCCUCUCAAAAAUUUCACUGGGCCAACAUCAAUUCUGGCAGCAGGAUAAAUCAUUAAGAAUGUAGCUACUUCGGUAGUGUUAUAGCUUUUUGGAAUACUGUUAGCCGGGAUUGAGGACUGCGCUUCGGCAAGGAUGUUGGCAUAAUGGUUAAAUGCCGCCCG
rnacentral:rRNA from 1 species